rnacentral:misc_RNA from 1 species
GAUGAAGAACGUAGCGAAAUGCGAUAAGUAGUGUGAAUUGCAGACUUUAGUGAAUCAUCGAAUCUUUGAACGCACAUUGCGCCCGCCAGUAUUCUGGCGGGCAUGCCUGUUCGAGCGUCAUUUCAACCAUCAAGCCCCCGGCUUGUGUUGGGGACCUGCGGCUGCCGCAGGCCCUGAAAACCAGUGGCGGGCUCGCUGUCACACCGAGCGUAGUAGAUUUUCAUCUCGCUCAGGGCGUGCUGCGGGUUCCGGCCGUAAAAAGCCUUAUUUACCCAAGGUUGACCUCGGAUCAGGUAGGAAGACCCGCUGAACUUAAGCAUAUCAAUAAGCGGAGGA